CCAAGAACUGGGAAGAGAGGAGCACCUGAGAUCUGGAAGCAGGAAAAAUGGCAAAAGUCCCCAAGUGAUGGUGGAAACGCUCGAAGAGGUCUUACAGAAAGAGGGUGGUUAGCCAGAGAGAUAAGCUUAUCAAAAUAGAUGAGUGCAAAUGCUGAUAUAGGAACAGAGAUCUGGAGACAGUGGCCAUAGAGGAAGCUAAAAAACCAUCAGGUAAUAUAACAUGUACGUGUUUCCUACAGUGGCAGUAGCAUAGGAGAAAGGUACAGGCAGCUUUAAAGCAACAAACAAAACAACAGUAGACAAUGACCAGGAAAUAUGGUGAGAAGAGUCAUCGGAAGAAAAGAAAGGCAAAACGGCCAAGCAAACAAAUGAUUCUCCUCAUUCAUUGAUUCAACAAACACUUCCUAAGCUCCUCAAGGGGCCAGGGCCCAAGGCAGGCAUGAAGUAGCACUGAGCACACAGACAAGCAGGACACAGGCUGGGAAAUAUCAAUUAAGUUAAGCGCAGAGCAUCAUAA
rnacentral:lncRNA from 10 species